rnacentral:rRNA from 1 species
AAACCAACCGGGAUUGCCUUAGUAACGGCGAGUGAAGCGGCAAAAGCUCAAAUUUGAAAUCUGGUACCUUCGGUGCCCGAGUUGUAAUUUGUAGAGGGCGACUUUGGGGCGGCUCCUUGUCUAUGUUCCUUGGAACAGGACGUCAUAGAGGGUGAGAAUCCCGUGUGGCGAGGAGUGCGGUUCCGUGUAAAGCGCUUUCGAAGAGUCGAGUUGUUUGGGAAUGCAGCUCUAAGUGGGUGGUAAAUUCCAUCUAAAGCUAAAUAUUGGCGAGAGACCGAUAGCGAACAAGUACAGUGAUGGAAAGAUGAAAAGAACUUUGAAAAGAGAGUGAAAAAGUACGUGAAAUUGUUGAAAGGGAAGGGCAUUUGAUCAGACAUGGUGUUUUGUGCCCCUCGCUCCUUGUGGGUGGGGGAAUCUCGCAGCUCACUGGGCCAGCAUCAGUUUUGGCGGUCGGAUAAAUCCAAGGGAAUGUAACUUGCUUCGGGAAGUAUUAUAGCCCUCGGGAAUACGGCCAGCCGGGACUGAGGAACGCGAUUCGUCAAGGAUGCUGGCAUAAUGGUUAUAUGCCG